rnacentral:rRNA from 1 species
CACGUAGGGUGCGAGCGUUGUCCGGAAUUAUUGGGCGUAAAGAGCUCGUAGGCGGUGUGUCGCGUCGGCCGUGAAAACCUGCAGCUUAACUGUGGGCUUGCGGUCGAUACGGGCAUCACUGGAGUUCGGCAGGGGAGACUGGAAUUCCUGGUGUAGCGGUGAAAUGCGCAGAUAUCAGGAGGAACACCGGUGGCGAAGGCGGGUCUCUGGGCC